rnacentral:rRNA from 1 species
UACGUAGGGUGCAAGCGUUGUCCGGAAUUAUUGGGCGUAAAGAGCUCGUAGGCGGUUUGUCGCGUCUGCUGUGAAAACCCGAGGCUCAACCUCGGGCCUGCAGUGGGUACGGGCAGACUAGAGUGCGGUAGGGGGAGAUUGGAAUUCCUGGUGUAGCGGUGGAAUGCGCAGAUAUCAGGAGGAACACCGAUAGCGAAGGCAGCUCGCUGGGACGGUACUGACGCUGAGGUGCGAAAGCGUGGGGAGCGAACAGG